CUUUUUUGGACCUCCCCACGAUGUAAGGAUUAAAGUUUUAUUCCCUUUGAGUGAGGCCAAUGAGGUAAAUGUUUUCUUUUGUUUAUUUUCGUUGUAUGUAAAUAUGCUAGUGUUGCGUGAUAUUCUAGUGCAAUUACCGCAGUGUGAGGUGUAAUGUGUAUUUUAUUGAUUGUUUUGUUGGAAUGUUUCGCCACAUAUAAUGCUUAGGGGCUUUAUUAAGAAUAUUCAUUUAAGUUUGUAUUUCUUUUUAGUUCUGACGGCAUUGUAUCGGCUGUGGUUGGACAUCAUUACAUGUUAAGGCAUGUCGAAGAAUCCUCCUGUCCGAAAUAAAUGUCAGUUAAAACACAAGGAACAAGUUGAGCUUUAUUACGACUCGAGGGGAGUAACAAGCCCUAUAAUUAUCUACUAGUCACAAACACACUGCAACAGUAAGACUUGUUGAUUACACAUAGAUGAUUUAACUACUUUUUUCUUCAGCGCUCCGAAAAGACACAGAGGCCAAUAGUUUUAAAUAGAGCACCACAAACAACAGGUAUUCCUUUAGAAAUAAACUUUUCUUGUGUUACUUCUAAAAUCUACAGAUUCUUAACUCUGCAACAGUUAGACAGAGGGGGUUACAGUUAGGCCUCCAACAGUCAGCAAAACAAGUCAUAAAACAAUAAAAGAGGCUCCCUUAUCAAGAGCAUCCCAGCACACAUCCCAACUGUAGUUCCAUUACAAACAGUUUCCUUUAUCUUAUCAUGUCAGAGGCCAACUGAAACCAAGUCCACCUAUAUAAAAAACACCCCAUCAGACACAGUAUUUUCCUCAGCACUUCACAACUGCCGCAAGGUAUAGCGUUUUAACUUUUUUUUUUUCGGAUCCCAGACACACGGUAGUUAGCACACAGUUUGGACACGUAGAAAACAUCGUUUGUUUGAAACACAUCAGCAGAGAGGUAGAAUUCAUAGCUGUUCAUAAGAGUUUAAUUUAAUCAAACCUCAUUUUACGGAUCUAAGUGGCUCCUCAUCACUAGCCAAUUCACCAUUUUAUUUAAAUAUCUGAAUUUUCGGAAUGAGGAUCCAAGCGGGACACAGAGGAUGCUAGUUUUAACACACCAGAAUGCAAAUAUAAAUAAAAGCCUGACUAUCCUAAGAGCCUAGCUGCAGCGACACCUUUUUUUUCACACGGAUUCCUGGAUGUGCGUUCGAGCCGACUUUGCUACCCGCACAGAGCGUUUCUGCCAGUCGGGUGCUGCUUAUACAGUAGAGAAAAGCAACAGUAAAGCGUGUUUCUCUGCUCCAAGAAAUCCGAGGGCCUUUCACACAGUAAGCAUGUCUGUUAUACCCAGCGCAUAAAUGUCUCUGUGUUAGCGCUGAUUAUUCAAACCCUGUUUAAAAUGUGACACAUAUGUUAUCCAAAAACGUUUCCUCUAAAUUUGCAAAGUUACUGAUUUAAAAAUUAUAUUUUUGAAUUUUUAAUUGCAUGACAAACAUACGAUAGACUCUUGAGCAUAUUUAUAUAGCUAAAUUCACAAUGGUAUAACCGUGCUAAAUAAAAGAGGCCCAAGCACCAAAGCACUCUAAUGCAAGCCUCUAAACUGUAUGUUGAUAAGUACAUGAAGCGUACCUUUUCCUCUACAGCUGAAAACAGUCUGUAUCCAUACCUUGAGGAUCUGCUGAAUUGUUUUUAAUGGCACUUUUUUUGCUGAACUGCAGAUGAUGAUGAAUUCCUCUUUAUUGUAGAAACUGUCCCUAAGCUAUUGUUGCUCAUACUUACUGAGUUCCCUAGCUACUUCCUUACUAUGUCAGUAAACUUUUUGAAAAGGAAGCUGUUGUAGAUUUAAAGAAACAUCUUAAUUAAAGCAAAGGCAAAAAAUUGGAAUGAAUUUUAUGUGACUGUUCAUAUUAAAGCCAACAAGUGAAAAUCCAAAAACGGCUCCAAUCCUUUGCAUUAAUGAUCUCCCUCUCUCUCUCUCUGUGUGUGUGUGUGUGUGUGUGUGUGUGUGUGUGUGUGUGUGUGUGUGUGUGUGUGUGUGUGUGUGUGUGUGUGUGUGUGUGUGUGUGUGUGCACCCAAACAACCCCUAUUUCGACCAAAGGGAGGCUUUCUGGUUAAUUAAAACAUAUUUCUGUUCUUUAAGGUUUGAGUGUCUACCAACUACUGAACUUCCUUGUUCAAUAAUUUCUUUAGCAGGAAAAUGAGAGGGCUUCCCCCCAUCUAUGAGGGCAAGGUAUUCUGAAAUCUUCUGCUACCUGCUGCUGGUUAUUGUUGGUUUUACUUCCUUAUAUUCAAGCAUCAGAUGUUUAAGGAGCACUACCGUAAUGCCAAAACUCCCAAUGACUAGUAAACUGGAAGAAAGACAUAAUAUAAAUUUGGAUGACACACUUAAUUUUGGACACAGCUUUCUGAAGAACCAGGAAACUGACCCGGUGACAUUUACCGCAAGAGAUCAGCACAGAAAUACACAUCCUCAGAAGUUGCCUCGCAUUAUCUUAUUCUUUGAAAUUGACUUGUAGCACACACACCUCGUGACAUACACACACACACACACACACACAGCUUACACACAGACAGCAUCGGGACCUGCGUAACAGGAAAUGUGAUUAUAUUUGCAUAUUGACGAUGUAACCUAUAAAAAUAAACGAAUA
ensembl:lncRNA